rnacentral:misc_RNA from 1 species
GAUGAAGAACGCAGCGAAAUGCGAUAAGUAAUGUGAAUUGCAGAAUUCAGCGAAUCAUCGAAUCUUUGAACGCACAUUGCGCCCGCCAGUAUUCUGGCGGGCAUGCCUGUUCGAGCGUCAUUUCAACCAUCAAGCCCCCGGCUUGUGUUGGGGACCUGCGGCUGCCGCAGGCCCUGAAAACCAGUGGCGGGCUCGCUAGUCACUCCGAGCGUAGUAAUACAUCUCGCUCAGGGCGUGCUGCGGGUUCCGGCCGUUAAAAAGCCUUAUUUACCCAAGGUUGACCUCGGAUCAGGUAGGAAGACCCGCUGAACUUAAGCAUAUCAAUAAGCGGAGGA